UCUUAGAUGACUGAGAACUAAGUAUUAGACUUUUAAUCUAACCACGGCAUUAAUAUCUAAAUGCCUCUAAGAG
rnacentral:tRNA from 1 species